rnacentral:rRNA from 1 species
UACAGAGGUGGCAAACGUUGUCCGGAUUUAUUGGGUGUAAAGGGCAUGUAGGUGGUUCUAUAAGUCAAAGGUGAAAUGGCCCGGCUCAACCAGGUCAUUGCCUUUGAAACUGCAGAACUUGAGUACGGAAGAGGAAAGCGGAAUUCCCAGUGUAGCGGUGAAAUGCGCAGAUAUCAGGAAGAACACCCGUGGCUAAGGCGGCUCUCUAGUACGGUACUGACGCUGAGACGCGAAAGCGUGGGGAGCGAACAGG